rnacentral:tRNA from 1 species
GUCAGGAUGGCCGAGUGGUCUAAGGCGCCAGACUCAAGCUUAGCUUCCUCGUAGUGGGGAUUCUGGUCUCCGAAUGGAGGCGUGGGUUCGAAUCCCACUUCUGACA